GCGGAGCGAAACGAUCCGAUCGGUUCAAGCGGUGAACAGCGACUGACUGACUGACUGACUGAAGGAAUCAGCGUGUCCUCCCUGACCGAGCGGUCCGGGUAACCCGCUGAACCUCCUUCGUGCUAGGGAUUGGGGCUUGCAAUUGUUCCCCAUGAACGAGGAAUUCCCAGUAAGCGCGAGUCAUAAGCUCGCGUUGAUUACGUCCCUGCCCUUUGUA
rfam:Tribolium castaneum strain Georgia GA2 unplaced genomic scaffold scaffold_seqid1654, whole genome shotgun sequence.